rnacentral:rRNA from 1 species
UACGUAGGGGCGCAAGCGUUAUCCGGAAUUAUUGGGCGUAAAGAGCUCGUAGGCGGUUUGUCGCGUCUGCCGUGAAAAGUCCGGGGGCUCAACCCCGGACUUGCAGUGGGUACGGGCAGACUAGAGUGUGGUAGGGGAGACUGGAAUUCCUGGUGUAGCGGUGAAAUGCGCAGAUAUCAGGAGGAACACCGAUGGCGAAGGCAGGUCUCUGGGCCACUACUGACGCUGAGAAGCGAAAGCAUGGGGAGCGAACAGG